rnacentral:rRNA from 1 species
GACGAACGCUGGCGGCGUGCUUAACACAUGCAAGUCGUACGGUAAGGCCCUUUCGGGGGUACACGAGUGGCGAACGGGUGAGUAACACGUGAGUAACCUGCCCACAACUUUGGGAUAACGCUAGGAAACUGGUGCUAAUACUGGAUAUGUGCUCCUGCUGCAUGGUGGGGGUUGGAAAGCUCCGGCGGUUGUGGAUGGACUCGCGGCCUAUCAGCUUGUUGGUGGGGUAGUGGCCUACCAAGGCGGCGACGGGUAGCCGGCCUGAGAGGGUGACCGGCCACAUUGGGACUGAGAUACGGCCCAGACUCCUACGGGAGGCAGCAGUGGGGAAUAUUACACAAUGGGCGCAAGCCUGAUGCAGAAACGCCGCGUGCGGGAGGACGGCCUUGGGGUUGAACACCGCUUUCAGCAGGGACGAAGCUUUUUGUGACGGUAACUGCAGAAGAAGCACCGGCUAACUACGUG